rnacentral:lncRNA from 10 species
GGGACGCCGAGAGCCCGGCAACACCUCAGCCCGAGCCCGGCGAGGUCUCUGGGCUCCUGGAGCGAGGUGAGCGCCCCAGGCCGCGGUCCUGCGUACGCCGGGACAGCCAUGGCGACUGGGUCCUGCUCCUUCCCGGCCGGACUGACGCGGCCUCCCAGGACCCGAGCACGUGCGUGAUGGGCGAGGAGGGCCUAGGCCGGGCAGACCAGUGCAGGGAGCCGAUUCUUCCCGGCUCACCGUAGACACAGGAGAGAGAUGGCCUCUCCUUAAGCCCAGGAGAACAGAGGAAACAUUAGGAAACGCACUGAGAAACGAAAUUGGCUUGAUUUGUAGUUCACUUAUUUGUAGAUCACUGACAGAAGACCGAAAAGCUCGUAGUAAAGGCCCCUCUAAAUUUAGAGAGAGGUGGCAUCUCACUACGUGGCCUAGGCUGAUCUCCCUCUCCUGGACUCACAUGAUCCUCCCACCUUGGCCCUUCAACGUGCUGAGAUCGCAGGUGUGAGCCACCACACCCGGCCCUGAUAAAACUCAUCAGUGCUUUGAAACAAGCAGCUCUGAACCAAAGAAAUCAUUUGAUUCAAGUAACCAUUGGAUCUUCCCAAGGCAAUGGUGAAAGAAAAGAAAAAAGCAGACAAAAAAGGGGAGA